CCGGGCGGCAGCUGCACCGAGCAGGGGAAGCAGCGCCGCCGCGGCCGCCAACAGUGCGGCCUUCGGGCGCUGUGAGCCUCCCACCCACCGAGGGGAGGCCCCGCGACCCCAGCCUCGCUGAGGCGGCAAGGGAAGCGCCGAGAGCGGCGGCCGCGCGCGGCCGCGUACUUGCUGGCCGCAGCCAUCCCAGUGGAGAUGAAGUGGUAUCUCAUUGUGGUUUUGAUUUUGACUAUGGUUUUUGAGGCAGCAUGGAAGCUGUGGAGAAAUGACUUCGAGCAGAAAUGGCCUAAGAGGACUGAAGGGGCUCUGCUGUCCCUGGGAGCAGUGCCUUUGGCAUCCUGGCCUUUUUUGGCUCCUGUUCAGUUUCAGAACUUGCUUCUCCAGUCUCUCCAUUGAUUUUGUGAGUUACCUGAUAGCCUUCAAAUAAAGUCCCUUUCCACCUAAGCUAACCAGAGCCAGUUUCUAUUGCUGCAAACCAAAGAUCAUCAUUGGUACCACAUUUAACCGUAGUCUUUAGACUUCUUUAUACUUCCUGAGUGCCUCUUCUCUUGUUGCACUUCUUCACUUUUCCCCAAACUAACAGUCUCCUCACUGCUGUCUCUUUCCUCAGCCACCCACUUCUACUCAUCACCUUGUCUUAUGCCUCUAAGAUGCAACUCUGAUCCCCUUCUCUCCCUUCACGUUUAGCCUCCUUGAUUUAGCACACAAGUCCAUCCAUAAUGUGACCACUGCCUUCUCUGGGUUGCUUUCCUGCCACCACCUGCAGCCAGCCCUCAGAUUGGCUUAGAGUACCUCAUUUAUGUAAUUUCUCCUCCACCUUCCUUGAUGUCCUCCUUCUUCCCACCCCAUCUGCUCUGGGUGCCCCUCUAACAUAACACAAGAUACUGUAAUUAUCAUUGAUAUACUGUUUUCCUCACUACAAUGUAACAUUUUUAAGAGGAGGAAUCAUGCUUUGUGUCACUGUAUCUCAGGACUUAGCAUGUGUCAUUGACACCAAGGUCACUAUUAGUUAGAAGAUCUAUAUACAAGUUAUAGCCAUUCUGUCAUUUAUUCUAGAAAAGCGGUAGAGGUAGAGGUGACCAGCAGGACACUGAGGAAGAAGUAAGUGGCAUGCAUUUUUUUAAGCGUUACUGUAAACUAGGCUGCCUUCUGGUGAUCACUAGCAUCUCAGGGGAAUGUAUAUUUCAACAUGAUUGUGCAUAAAGGGACAAGAUCACUGAGAAAAUCAUGGUUAUUACAUUUUUUUAAAAUGUUGAAAUUCCUGGAAAACUAAGAAGGAUGCCGACUCAGGCAUUACGGGGCUGAAACUCACCAUGAGCUUUUUCCACCUUUGGCUAGGGUCAUGUGAAAGAACACACCAGCUUAAGGGCUGGCUUCCACACAUGACUUCUGUAUGGUCUUCCCUGGAAUCCUCGACAGCUCACUCUCCAUCAAGACUCUUUGGACAGAAGGAAAUGAGAACAGCCAGCUCUUCUUCCACAUGGAUCCAUUCCUCUUGCCAACUGCCCACAUGAAAGCAUUCCUAUUCAGACUUGUGAGGAGGAGCCACACAAUAGUGUUGAAGGAACACAAGAGAACCUUCUAGACCCCUGUGGGCCUCAUCUUGAGUCUACAUCCCCUUCUACAGUUUGACCGCACAAACCUUUGCUUCACUGACUGCUUCUGGCUGUAGUGCACACUGUUCCCUCUGGAAUAUUCUGCUCCAUGUCUUUCUAUGACCGGCUCUCAACUUCAACGUCUCAUCUUUGGAUGACUCUCCUGACUACCUUAAAUAAAGUCCAUUCCCCUCUUGGUAUUUUCUAUUUCAUAGGCCAGGGCCUUUUCUUUAUACCUCUGAGUAUCAUUUGCAAUGAUAUUUUUAUAUUUAAUAUGAGCUCCCUAAAGACAAGGUAUGUGUCUGUCCUGUUCAACACUGCACACCCAGCCCUAACAGUGCUAGCACAGGGUAAAUAUUUGCUCAGUUUGUGAAUGGAUGAACGAAGCCCUUCUAUGAAGAAAUCAAAUCCCCACAGAGAUGCAAGGCAGCAGCCAGCCCCUUAAGUAGGACCACGUGCUCUGGGUUCGCCGCGGCCCCAUGUCUCCCUGUACUUGUUGUGUUCUCUGCACCUCAGGCCUGUGGUCCAUGCCACUGCCCACUCCUCCCUACUCUAGGGCAGACAUGCUGGUCAGCAAGACGGGCGGGGGGGGGGGACUUGCAGUUCACAGCACACACUUGUGUAUUGUUUGAAGUGCUGGCAAGGAGCAUAUACUAGUUGUUGCAACUAAAUUUGUCCCCCUCUCAAAGAAAACACCCCCACUUUCUUUAAAGAGUAAGAUAUACAAAAAUAAAUACCAUGUUUACAU